UACGUAGGGUGCAAGCGUUAAUCGGAAUUACUGGGCGUAAAGCGUGCGCAGGCGGCUUUGCAAGACAGAUGUGAAAUCCCCGGGCUCAACCUGGGAACUGCAUUUGUGACUGCAUGGCUUGAGUGCGGCAGAGGGGGAUGGAAUUCCGCGUGUAGCAGUGAAAUGCGUAGAUAUGCGGAGGAACACCGAUGGCGAAGGCAAUCCACUGGGCCUGAACUGACGCUCAUGCACGAAAGCGUGGGGAGCAAACAGG
rnacentral:rRNA from 1 species